GGCAUAUGUGAUGAACAAUAUGGGACUUAAUACUGAAAACCUUGAUGUCUUUAACUUGCUGAUAUGC
rfam:Xenopus laevis strain J chromosome 5S, whole genome shotgun sequence.